rnacentral:tRNA from 1 species
UAUGAAUUAAUGUAUGGGGCAUGUAAGAUUUUGAUUCUUAAAGAUAUAGUUUAAAUCUGUAGUUCAUAA